rnacentral:rRNA from 1 species
GUGUCAGCCGCCGCGGUAAGACGAGGGAUCCUAGCGUUGUUCGGAAUCAUUGGGCGUAAAGCGGAUGUAGGUGGCUUUGUAAGUCAGGUGUGAAAGCCCCGGGCUCAACCCGGGAAGUGCAUUUGAUACUGCGAAGCUUGAGUGCUGGAGAGGUUACUAGAAUACCUGGUGUAGUGGUGAAAUACGUAGAUAUCAGGUGGAAUACCGGAGGCGAAGGCGGGUAACCAGCCAGACACUGACACUCAGAUCCGAAAGUGUGGGGAUCAAACAGGAUUAGAUACCCUGGUAGUCCACACCGUAAACGAUGGAUACUUGUUGUUGGAGGUAUUGACCCCUUCAGUGACGCAGUUAACACGGUAAGUAUCCCGCCUGGGGAGUACGGUCGCAAGAUUAAAACUCAAAUAAAUUGACGG